CUCGCUUCGGCGGGUCGA
rnacentral:snRNA from 1 species